UACGUAGGGCGCAAGCGUUGUCCGGAAUUAUUGGGCGUAAAGAGCUCGUAGGCGGUUUGUCGCGUCUGCUGUGAAAACCUAAGGCUCAACCUUGGGCUUGCAGUGGGUACGGGCAGACUAGAGUGCGGUAGGGGUGACUGGAAUUCCUGGUGUAGCGGUGAAAUGCGCAGAUAUCGGGAGGAACACCAAUGGCGAAGGCGGCUCUCUGGGACGGUACUGACGCUGAGACGCGAAAGCGUGGGGAGCGAACAGG
rnacentral:rRNA from 1 species